GACCGCCGGGACCGCCAGGACCGCUGCAGGGCGCCGGCCCUAGACGGUGGUCCGCGCCCCGGAUUCUCCUCGGCUCGGCCGCGCGUAUAUUUCCCUUCCUCCAUGAUCUCCAGCACUGAUAAAGUAGAAGAAACUGAGGUACCAGGAAAGAGAAAAGUAACUGGGACUGAGGCUAAAAGUAGAACAGCCAAAAAGUUGAUGAGCAUGAAAACAAGAUGGAGAAAUAGGAGAUACUGAUGAUCUAGUGAAGUCACUGUUCCACUAACUGCAGACUUCUAAGAAGACACUUAGCAACCCUUUGUAUUUAAACUCCAACAGCCAGGUUUCUGUUACAUGUAGCUAAAUAAAUGGUCUGUUAUGGAAUCCUA